UACCAAACCAUAAUGAACACAUGCUAAUCAACGUUGAAUUAAUUAGAAGUACAUUGAUUAUGAAAACGGUUUCACUUUUGUUUGUGUUGACCCCACACCACACCACUUGACAACUGGUGUUGGUGUGUUCACAUCCCAGUGACCUAGCAAUUCAACGAAAGAAACUGAUGGAAUAAGUAGCAGGCUUAAAAGGUGACGAAAAAGGGAAAAGUGCUGGGGUCGGUUUGUGUGACUAAAACUCUUCAAAGUGGUGGCCCAGGAUGGCUGCAAACCAAACACUGAAACAAAGAGAAAAUAGCAAUGUGCGGUCACCCUUUUUGAGCAGAAUAAUGACAGGCAGUUUUCCACUACUCCGGAGUAGCACUGUUGUUAAGACAGAACUGAAAGAAGAGUGAAAGCUGGCGCAGAAGAAAGUACCCACCGUGUUUGAGAAGCAGUCAUCUGACUGGGGCCAUGCUGGAGCACUGCCUUUUAC
rnacentral:lncRNA from 1 species